rnacentral:rRNA from 1 species
GACGAACGCUGGCGGCGUGCUUAACACAUGCAAGUCGAACGGGAUUUAGUAGACAGAAGCCUCGGCUAAAGAUUACUAAUGAGAGUGGCGAACGGGUGAGUAACGCGUGAGCAACCUGCCUAUGACAGUGGGAUAGCCUCGGGAAACCGGGAUUAAUACCGCAUAACAUCGUAGAAACACAUGUUUUAACGGUCAAAGAUUUAUCGGUCAUAGAUGGGCUCGCGUCUGAUUAGCUAGUUGGUGAGAUAACAGCCCACCAAGGCGACGAUCAGUAGCCGGUCGGAGAGAGUGAACGGCCACAUUGAGACAGGGACACGACCCAAACGCCUAGGGGAGGUAGGGGGGGGGAAAAAUGCACAGGGGGGGAAACCCUGAGGCGGCGAGUGAGGGUGAACGAAGAAGGUAUUGUAAACGUAAAUCUCUGCCCAAGGGGAAAAAAAUACCGGUCCCAAAGAAGAAACGCCGGGUUAAAAAGGU